rnacentral:lncRNA from 1 species
AUAAUAUUAUACUCAAACCCAAAAUUUUUUCUUUCUUUUCAACCACAGGUUCUUCACCAAAAUACUAUUUCAAAAUGCAUUACUUCUAAAAAAAGGGGGCUCAAACAUGCUCUUAGUCUCAUUGAAAUGCUUCGCAUAUUUUAUUAUCAUUAUUUCAAAAUUUUUUAACCCUCAUACUCAUUUUCAAUUACACAUUUACACACUAAGCUCCCAUUUGGCCCUCAGACUCUUUCAUUCUUUUUUCCUUUCUUUUAUAUUCAACUCCACAAUUUUUCAUAAAAUAAUAUUAUACAUAAAUCGAAAACUUUUCAUUUUUUUUCAACCACACAUUC